rnacentral:rRNA from 1 species
CAACCUACCCUCGGGAGGGGGAUAACCCCGGGAAACUGGGAAUAAACCCCCAUAGGUCAUGGAUGCUGGAAGGCGCCAUGACCGAAAUUCCGAAAGGAGCCCGAGGAUGGGUCUGCGGCCUAUCAGGUCGUAGUGGGGGUAACGGCCCCACUAGCCUACGACGGGUACGGGCCCUGAGAGGGGGAGCCCGGAGAUGGACUCUGAGACACGAGUCCAGGCUCUACGGGGCGCAGCAGGCGCGAAAACUCCGCAAUGCUCGAAAGAGCGACGGGGGGACUCCGAGUGCCUACGCUUUGCGUAGGCUUUUCCCGAGCCUAAAAAGCUCGGGGAAUAAGGGCUGGGUAAGACGGGUGCCAGCCGCCGCGGUAAUACCCGCAGCUCGAGUGGUGGCCGCUUUUAUUGGGCCUAAAGCGUCCGUAGCCGGUCUGGUAAAUGCCUGGGUAAAUCGUCUGGCUCAACCAGACGGCUCCCAGGUAGACUGCCAGACUUGGGACCGGAGGAGGGAGAGGGUACUCCAGGGGUAGGGGUGAAAAUUCCUUUCCGUUAACGCUUUGCGCAAAGCGGAAAGGGUUAUCACAAUCCUGUAAUCCCUGGAGGACCACCGGUGGCGAAGGCGCUCUCCUAGGACGGGUCCGACGGUGAGGGACGAAAGCCAGGGGAGCAAACCGGAUUAGAUACCCGGGUAGUCCUGGCCGUAAACGAUGUGGACUUGGUAUUGGGACGGCUACGAGCUGUCCCAGUGUCGUAGGGAAGCCGUUAAGUCCACCGCCUGGGGAGUACGGUCGCAAGGCUGAAACUUAAAGGAAUUGGCGGGGGAGCACUGCAACGGGAGGAGCGUGCGGUUU